rnacentral:rRNA from 1 species
GGAAUUGUUCGCAAUGGGCGCAAGCCUGACGACGCAACGCCGCGUGGAGGAUGAAGAUCUUCGGGUCGUAAACUCCUGUCGAAUGGGACGACUGGGUUGCGGGUGAAUAACCCGCGCCCGUGACGGUACCGAUAAAGGCAACCCCGGCUAACUCAGUGCCAGCAGCCGCGGUAAUACGGGGGGGGUAAGCGUUGUUCGGAAUUACUGGGCGUAAAGGGCUCGUAGGCGGCCAACUAAGUCAUACGUGAAAUCCCUCAGCUUAACUGGGGAACUGCGUGUGAUACUGGAUGGCUUGGAUUUGGGAGAGGGAUGCGGAAUUCCAGGUGUAGCGGUGAAAUGCGUAGAUAUCUGGAGGAACACCGGUGGCGAAGGCGGCAUCCUGGACCAAUACUGACGCUGAGUGAGCGAAAGCCAGGGGAGCAAAC